CCUACGGGAGGCAGCAGUAGGGAAUCUUUCACAAUGGGCGAAAGCCUGAUGGAGCAACGCCGCGUGCAGGAUGAAGGCCUUCGGGUUGUAAACUGCUUUUAUAAGCGAGAAAUAUGAUGGUAACUUAUGAAUAAGGAUCGGCUAACUACGUGCCAGCAGCCGCGGUCAUACGUAGGAUCCGAGCAUUAUCCGGAGUGAAUGGGUGUAAAGAGUUGCGUAGGUGGCAUAAUAAGCAGCUUGUGAAAUCUGGUGGCUCAACCAUUCAGACUAUUAGAUAAACAGUGAAGCUCGAGACCGUUAGGGGUAACUGGAAUUUCUAGUGUAGGAGUGAAAUCCGUAGAUAUUAGGAGGAACACCAAUAGCGUAGGCAGGUUGCUGGGACGGUUCUGACACUAAGGCACGAAAGCGUAGGGAGCAAACGGGAUUAGAUACCCUAGUAGUC
rnacentral:rRNA from 1 species